GGUUUUCUCCCUGCUUGCCGGGGUGGUCCUCUUCCCUUUGUCGGACCAAAGAAGUAAACACUGUGUGGAGAGGGACUGAGGUGUUUGGAGGGAAAUGGGAAUGUACACGAUAAUUAAAGAGUAAAGUUGUGCUCAACGUUUCAGGAAUAAAAAGUACAAAAGAAGACUGGUUAAAAUUUGUUGCUACAAAGAAAAGGACACAGAAAGACAGCCAAGAGAGAGAUAAUGUUAAUUCAAGACUCUCGAAGAGAAGCUUCAGUGCAGAUGGAUUUGAGAUGCUACAAAACCCAGUAAAAGAUUCAAAAGAAAUGUUUCAAACCUACAAACAGAUGUACCUGGAGAAGAGAAGCAGAAGCCUUGGUAGCAGUCCUGUAAAAUAAUUACAAGAUGUGGUUUUGUAAUUGCCACUGGGAAAUUUCUUUCCUUUUCUGUUCAAAAUAUUUCGCUGAAACUAAUGAGAAAUGCCAUGAUAAAGAUUUCUCAGAGUUUGGUUCCCACUUUCAUUGUAUUUCAUUGAAAGUGCUUAAUUAAAAUGGCUUGAGAACUUUGGGUAGCCAUGUGUAAGAAAUGGAUGGUAUUCACCGGGGAAACAUAAGGCAUUUGAAUUUCUACUUUAUUGAACCAGAUUUACCAUUAUUUUAAAAGGAAUGCUUAUACAAAUCAAUUUGAAAUUCUACCCAUCUUGAGGGAGGACUGUUCCUCAGUUAAGGACUUGUUUAUUUAAAUGGGACUGUAAAUAUGUUUUGGUUUCUAAGCUAUAUUAGCAAAAUUUAUUUUUCAAAAAUGCCCACUGUGAUGUGAAUGUCAAAAUAUAUU
rnacentral:sRNA from 1 species